ensembl:lncRNA
CAGAGUGCUGUGACAGGGGUAAACUGUUAACUCAGACAAUUACUGGUUGAGAUCCUUGGAGGUGGAACAUCUCUCUCCGGAGACCACCGCCUCUCAAAGACGCUUUCCCCAAGACAGAAACAGUGACCUUAUUACUUCCAGAGGGAAUACUUCUUUCUCUCUUUUCUCUUUAAUUUGACAAGUCAUAGUGUUGUGCUAUAGUGAGAUGGAAUUACAUCAUCAACUGCAUGGAACAGAGCAGAGCUAGGCACUGCUAGGCCUUUUCAACAUGUGCUGUUGAUCUUGGCCAAGGUGUCUGGAGCAGUGCAAGGCCCGGUGAGAGGUCCGGGAAACAAGAGGUCCCUCUCAGGCUAGGAGGAGAGGGUCGGUAGGAGGGAUGCAAUGAUAGCAGACCUCUACAACCACCUGUCGAUAAGAAUGCACCUACCAGUUGACCUUGGAGCUCUCCCUUACUGCUGGCUUUUGGUUCAAAGAGAUAAACCCAAUGGCUACAUCCCGAAUGGCACCCUGUUCCCUAUAUAGUGCACUACUUUGAACCCAGAGGGCUCUGUUCAAAGUAGUGUGCUGCAUAGGGAAUAAGGGUGCCGUUUGGGAUGUAGCCAUUGGGUUUAUCUCUUUGACCCAGUACCACGCAGUACCACGCACAGUCAUAUCAAUGAAUUUUCUCAUUGUGUAACAGCGCACCUAUAUGUGUGUCAUAACUACUCUACAAUACGUAUUCAAGGACAUUUGCUUGGCUACUAAGAUGUGUUUUCAUUGAGUUAUACAUGUGAUGCAAUUUGGGUGUUAUUCGUUAUUUUCUUUAAAAUAGCCAAGUUAAAUUACCAAUCUGCUGUUUUGUAGCCAAGAGGUGAACACGGUACACAAGCGACAAUAUGGAUCUACUUAAAGUAGUUUAUCACAUGGAUUUCUUCCCUCGGAAAGAAGUGUGAGACAGCUCUCUGAAUGGUAAAACAUCUCUGAACAUCAAAGGUGCUAGAAUGUGGGCCUGGGGUGAAGGAAUCGUCCCACUGUGAACACGGGGUUAAGACAGGCCCCACUCUGCCGUUCACUCCUGUCAUAAAAACAACAGGCAACCAAGUGAUGAUCAUACAAAUGUAUUUAUCUGCCCUGAAAUCAAGCGCUGAGAAUCUUUCCAGCCAAUUGGAUGUCCGAGUGUGAUUCCCAGGGCCGGGGAGGAAGAGGGUUUAUUUUUGGGAAGGAGAGGGCUGGCCCAUCAAAGACCAGGCUGAUGACAACAGGAGUUGUGUGUAAUGUAUUUAUCUGCUGGGUUCUGCCUUUCAUGACGCGCUUCUUGUUAAAUGUAAUCAGGGCUCUGUGUGUUUGUCAUGGCAGGGCCUGAACAAUAAGGACAACCCUGUCUUACCAUACAGGACUAGCAUUGUCGACUGAUACACAGUAGUCGACACUCACAGGUCACAGAAAACGGGCAAGGCCGCCACCUGUCAGGCAUUAAGGGUACUGCACUGACUGUUAGGCACAGGUAAUGUUUAUCAUGACACGCCAGACAACACAAGCAUUUUUUGCUGCAGGUUAUUGUGGUUUUGAUAAUUAGGACUCAUACUCGUCUGAUACAAAGUAUGAAAAAGGUUCAGAAAGCACCAAAAUGGUCUCUAUUACUGCUGUCAUACUAUUCACAUUAUAUCGUGCCUCAGAAUUUAUUUUAAAAAACUUUUGAAAAAUAAAUAUUUCACAAAACCAGGUGAAGUAUUAGCUGGAAGAUAAGUGUGUGUUGUGAAUGGAUUGUUUUGAG